rnacentral:rRNA from 1 species
UACGUAGGCAGCGAGCGUUGUUCGGAGUUACUGGGCGUAAAGGGUGUGUAGGCGGUUGUUUAAGUUUGGUGUGAAAUCUCCCGGCUCAACUGGGAGGGUGCGCCGAAUACUGAAUGACUAGAGUGCGGGAGAGGAGAGUGGAAUUCCUGGUGUAGCGGUGAAAUGCGUAGAUAUCAGGAGGAACACCGGCGGUGUAGGCGGCUCUCUGGACCGUAACUGACGCUGAGACACGAAAGCGUGGGGAGCAAACAGG